rnacentral:lncRNA from 1 species
CAGUGACCAGCAUAUUGACCAAUUUGGAUAAGUUGUAAUCCAAUUUGUUCAUGUGAUAGUUUACGAUAAAUUAUCCAAACGAACUAGUUAGGGAUUGGAGAAUCAAAUCCACCUUUAGCUCCCUCUGCAUAUUUAGCUUGAGCUUCUCAAGCUCUUUUAGGUCCUUGAUUAUAGUCAUACAGUGAUCGUAGACUGACUGCC